AAAAGUGUUUGUUUAGCAGAAAAUAUUAAAGAACUAUAAGUUUUCAUCAUUUUGAAAUCUUAACAAAAAUAUUUAACAAAGAUUAAAGAAUAAAAGACUCAGAAUGCGCAAUGAAAAUUUUUUGCAAGUGACAAAAGUGGAAAACUGACCAGGCACAUGAUCACCAGGAGCACAAAACUGAUGUCCAAAAUCAACUUUAAAAUAAUCAUCACAUAUUUUCUAAAUAUUUGGAAGUAUCAUAAAAUACAUCUAAUAUUAACUGAUGACACAUAUAGUAAUAGCUGCCAUGUUUAUUCACUAAAAAAAAAAUCAAUGUACAUAUUUGUGAUAUUAUUUAUGAACUGCUCAAUAAAUUAAUUUUUUUGAAUGUAUUUAAAUAUGAAGAAUCACCCAAAUCCAUGUAUUUUUAUAAUAGAAAUGAGAAGAAGUAGGUAUUUUUUAGAAAUGAGUAUGGCAAAUCACACAGCUGCUAUAGAAUGUUCAAGAUAUAAUGCAACCAGUUUAUGUAUUUUUGAUCAUAUUUGUGCAAUAUCAGAUGAUUUAAUAUAUUUUAGGUAUUUAAAUAUGUACAUUGGGACAUAUUGACAUGCUUUUAACAAAAAAAAUUGAAAGAAUUGGUAAAAUUAUUCUUGUUGGGAAUAAAUAUCAUGCUGGUGUGAAGAUGUAA
rnacentral:lncRNA from 1 species